rnacentral:tRNA from 1 species
CGUAGCUCAGUCGGUAGAGCAGCUGACUCUUAAUCAGUUAAUUAUAUCUUCAAUUCCAAUCGUAUAU